ensembl:lncRNA
CUCCAGAAACCAAAUUGUGACCUGCUUUGCACUUCAAACAAUAGCUUCUGCUAUGUAAAUAGUUGUGGAGUUUUCAAGGAUAAGGUUGCUAAAUUACAAGAAAAGUUCCAUACGUGAAAAAUCUCUUCGUGGAUAAACAUUAGUGACAGGAAAUCUGGUCUACACAACACCCAAGGCAGAGGACAGUGGAAGUGAUGACGGCUCAGAAGGCCAAGUCCAGAUCUUGAGUGAGUACAAAUCCACGAGGAAGCAGAGAUGAGCAAGGCUCAACAAUUCAUUUGGACCUUGACUGAUUUUUUUCAAGGUUGGUAAAACCGAUCCUUAGAGAACCUUCCUGACAUACUAUAGAAAAAAGGCCAUUGCAUAAAAUUGUGAAAGUAACACAGGUCUUUUAU